AAAAUUCAAAAUCACAAAUUCGUCCCAAAUUCUGGCAUCCCGCGAUAGAUUCCAAUUAGUGAGAAGAGCAAAGAGAUGAGAGGCGGAGCCGCCGGAAAGAGAAAAACAACGGCCGGUUUCUCCGGAGCACCACCACCGCAACCACCACCUUCGGUAGAUUACCAGCGCCAACUCUUCAACUCACGAGACUCCGACGCCAGUUUCGCCAGCAGCCGCCCGUCAUCAGUCGGCUUAAGCCGCGCCUCCGAUAUACACACCGACAGAUCUCACCAAUCCUCGACGAUCCGCUCCAUCAACGCCUUCCUCGCGUCUCACAACUCCCCGAUCUCGCUCCGCGCCCACCCCGUCCCUCCCGUCAAAGACAUCUCCGAAACCCUAGUUUUCCUCCUCUCCACGGUCGAUUUCCACUGCGAUAAUCGCAAAUGGGACGAGGACGUCGUCUUCUUCCUCAGAUCGCUUAGCUGCCCGCUCAAGCUCACCAAAUCCACCCUCCGCGCUCCGAACUCGCCUCACAACUGGCCUAACGUCCUCGCCGUGAUUAACUGGCUGGUUCAGUACGCUCGCUUCCGUCAGCAUCUAUCGUCGAAUCCCGCCUCGGUGGCUCCGGAUGCUAACUCUAUGUCUUCCUUCGGGAUCAGAAGCUACUGCCAUUUCAUCCGCGGGGAAGACGAUUCGGUUAACGAUCUUGAUUCGGAGUUCUUGGGGAAACUCGAAGCGGAGAAGGUUACGAUCGCUGAAACGAUCUCGAAUUCUGAGAAGGUCGCCGCCGAAUUGGAGGCGAAGCUCGAUGCGUUGAGGAAAGGUCCCUCGAAGAAGGAAGCUCUAGAGAAAGUUAAGGCUGAUUUGGAGAAAGAUGUGAACAAGUUUCGCACGAUGGUUGCGGAACGUAGCGAGAGGACUCGUGGGAUGGAGAAAGUGGUGGAGGAGAAGGAGAAGGAAGUGUUGGCUAAGGAGGAAGAGAGGGGACGGAUCUUUGAAGAGAACAAGGAGCUGAAGAAGAGUGUGGAGGUUCAGUGUUUUAAUGUGAGAGAUGUUGAGAGGAUGAAGAGAGAGUUGCAAGCUGUGGAGAGAGAUGUUUCGGAGGCUGAGGUGGCUAGAGAUGGUUGGGAGCAGAAAGCUUGGGAGGUUAAUUCACAGAUUAGUAAUCAGUUUCAUCAGAUUCAGAGGCUUGCUAUUGAUUGUAACCAGGCUCUGAGGAGGUUGAAGGUUGAUGUUCAGUUCGCUGUGAAUGAGAGAGGGGAGGUACCUGAGGAGGUGAUGGGUGCGGAGUAUAAAGCUCUGGUGAAGCCAGCUCUGUGUUCGUUGUAUGAUGGUAUCAAAGAAGGGUCGACGAAGAAGGCUGAUGAGCUUGUUUCCUUACAACAACAGGUGUCUGAAAUGGCGUCGAAGAUCGAGUCAAGAAAGAGUAUUCUAAGGUCGAUUCAGAAUGUUCAUUCAUGUUUUGUAAUGAAGGUCCUACUCACUACACCAACAACACCAACAGAGAGAAUGAAGAGAAUUGUUGACGCAUCAGAAGGAUUUAUUUACCUUGUAAGAUCCCUCUUUGUGUAUCUUUCUUUCUUUCCAGAUAUUCACAUGUGUUUUUAUGUCUGAAAAUGUAUUGGCCUUGCUAUUGGAUUUGACAGGUGAGCUCAAUUGGAGUGACGGGUGCACGUGCAUCUGUAAGCGGGAAGGUCCAGUCGCUCUUGAAGGAUAUCAAAGAGGUAUGAUAAAUAACACAUAUAUUACUGUUUUAUUGUUAUCUUGAAAUGAUGUUAAAAUGUUUGGCCUUUAACUCAAUGCAGGCAACAGACAAGCCAGUGGCUGUCGGUUUUGGAAUAUCAAAGCCUGAGCAUGUGAAACAGGUCCUACACCUCACAAAAAGGAUGCUUCCUAUAAUGUCUCUUAAGUUGUAUGCUUGUUUGUUGUUUGACAAUUUUUUUCUUCUUCUUCUUAUAAUUGUGUGUACAGAUAGCUGGAUGGGGAGCUGAUGGAGUGAUUGUAGGCAGUGCAAUGGUGAGGCUUUUGGGAGAUGCUAAGUCGCCAACGGAAGGGCUCAAGGAGCUUGAGAGUCUCACAAAGUCUCUCAAAUCUGCUCUUCUUUGAAACACAAAGAAAAACAUUUGCAGAACGCUUCAUUGAUUGUGUUUUUGUUUUACUAAGUUACCAGUAAUGUAUGAAAAUUAUGUUCCAAACUUUUGAGACAUUUCGAGUAUGAUCAAGUUGCAGUGUGGUCUGGUCUCUCAGUCCACAAAUCAGUUUUUAUUGGUACUUCAAUGAAAACUACAGUGGAUCGCAUUUUGAUUGCCUGCAAUAGUACUCGAAGCAAUUCCGAUUUGAAUUCUGAUUAGAACUUUGAUAAUAAGAAAACUCUUUAGUGUUUCAAAAAAAAAAAAAAAAAAAAAAACUCUUUCAUUUUCAUUAGUCCCUCUUUUUAUUCAAUUGUAUUUCAAAAUUUAUUUGAUGAAAUCAUGGUUUAAUUUUCAAUACAGUUUUUUACUUUUAGCUGGAGAUGUUAGAGCAUCUACAACUCUUCUUUUCAAAAAUAGAUGUGAAUUUGCUACAAUUUAUACUAUAUAAAGAAAAAAAAUCUAUUUAUAAAGAAAAUAUAGAAGAAUGCUAUUUUUUACUUCUAAAUACAGAGGUGAAAAUAAUAUUAAAAACAAAAAAAUAAAAGAAUUCUAUUAUAUAUGCAUAUAUUGGAACAACACUUAUUUUUAAAAUAAUUUAUAGUAUAAAAUUGAUUGGAUAUGGUCUUAGUUGAAAUUAUUAUUACACAGACCUUAAAAGAUUUUGUCUUCUUCUUUUUUUUUGCACACUUUUAUAUAUAUGUCUAAAUUUAGUAUUUCUGAGUGACUAACUGGUUCAGGUAAACCGGUAACCUGUAAGGAGGGAUGAAACAUAAAUAUUUAAAACUUUCGAUUUGGUUUCAAAAUCAUGUCAAAUUAUAAGGGAAAAUUGACAAAAUAAUCCUCAACUUUCAAAAAUAAGCAAAAAAAAAUUUUCAAUUCACAAACACCCCAUUUUAACCUUCAACUUCUAGCCAAACACAAAUAAAUCUUAUACUUUCAUUGACCAAACCAUUUCAGUCUCGUCAAAAGUCAAUUUCGUCAAAAGUGAAUUGUUUAGUGCCGUUAGUUUAUAUUUAACGGUUGACUUUUAAUAAAACCAAAAUGGCUUGGUCAACACAAAUAUGAGAUUUUUUUGUUCCAAUUUUAAAGUUGAAGAUUAAAAUUGCUUAUUUAAAAAUAUCUUAAUUAAUAAUUGUUGUUUUUUUUCUUUUUUUUGACAUGAAAAAUUGUUGUUUUUCAUAUUGAUUAGAAUGACUAACCUAAUCAAAUAUGUUCAAAUAAGCUUAGAUAUAAUAUUUUUAAAAAGAAUUAAAACUAAAAAAAAUUAACAAAAAAUCUUAAUUAAAAAUACAAUUAUAAUGUAAAUUCAGAUAUAACAAAAAAUAAUUAAGUGUUUAUGUUAAAAAAAAUCUAAGAAUAAAAACAUAAAAGUUGAAGGUAAAAUCCUAAACACGUUGUUGUUAGAAGUAUGAUCACCGGUGGCUGAUGUAUAGAAAGUUAGAAACAGUUGCUGGAAUCAGCCGAAGAUCCCUUUCACGCAUUUGCCUUCAGCCUUUUUCACUUGCCUCAUCUUCUAAUUAUAAUUGUAUUUUUAAUUAAGUUUUUUUAAACAAUUUUUAGUUUUUAAUUCAUUUUAAAAAAUAUUAAAUCUAAGCUUAUUUGAAAAUAUUUUAUUAAGCUAGUGAUUAGAAUCGAUAUGAAAAACAAAAAAAUUGUUGUAAAAAAAAUAACAAUUUUUAGUUAAGAUAUUUUUAAGUAAACAAUUUUAAUCCUCAACUUUUAAAUUGGAAAAAAAUCUCAUAUUUGUGUUGACCAUGCCAUUUUAGCCUUAUUAAAAAUCAACCGUUAAAUAUAACUAACUACACUAAACAGUUGACUAUCGAAGAGAAUGAAAUGGUUUGGUGAAUGAAAAUAUGAGAUUUGUUCGUGUUUAACUAGAAGUUGGUUGAACGAAAAAAAAGAGUUGAACAAAAAAAUAAAUAGAAGUUGAAGGUUAAAGUGGUGUGUUUUUGAAUUAGAGAUUUUUUUGGGUUGUUUUCGAAAAUUGAGGGUUAUUUUGUUAAUUUUCCCCAGAUUAUAGUGUCCCACAUUCAAUUAUUUAAAACAAUGAGAAACAAAGGAGUUUUUGUGUUAAAAAGAAAAAAAAAGAGAAACAAAGGAGUUUUAGGUUAAAUUCAAAAUUCAAAAUCACAAAUUCGUCCCAAAUUCUGGCAUCCCGCGAUAGAUUCCAAUUAGUGAGAAGAGCAAAGAGAUGAGAGGCGGAGCCGCCGGAAAGAGAAAAACAACGGCCGGUUUCUCCGGAGCACCACCACCGCAACCACCACCUUCGGUAGAUUACCAGCGCCAACUCUUCAACUCACGAGACUCCGACGCCAGUUUCGCCAGCAGCCGCCCGUCAUCAGUCGGCUUAAGCCGCGCCUCCGAUAUACACACCGACAGAUCUCACCAAUCCUCGACGAUCCGCUCCAUCAACGCCUUCCUCGCGUCUCACAACUCCCCGAUCUCGCUCCGCGCCCACCCCGUCCCUCCCGUCAAAGACAUCUCCGAAACCCUAGUUUUCCUCCUCUCCACGGUCGAUUUCCACUGCGAUAAUCGCAAAUGGGACGAGGACGUCGUCUUCUUCCUCAGAUCGCUUAGCUGCCCGCUCAAGCUCACCAAAUCCACCCUCCGCGCUCCGAACUCGCCUCACAACUGGCCUAACGUCCUCGCCGUGAUUAACUGGCUGGUUCAGUACGCUCGCUUCCGUCAGCAUCUAUCGUCGAGUCUCGCCUCGGUGGCUCCGGAUGCUAACUCCAUGUCUUCC
rnacentral:lncRNA from 1 species